rnacentral:rRNA from 1 species
UGGGGAAUAUUGCACAAUGGGCGCAAGCCUGAUGCAGCCAUGCCGCGUGUGUGAAGAAGGUCUUCGGGUUGUAAAGCACUUUCAGCGGGGAGGAAGGCGUUAAGGUUAAUAACCUUGGCGAUUGACGUUACCCGCAGAAGAAGCACCGGCUAACUCCGUGCCAGCAGCCGCGGUAAUACGGAGGGUGCAAGCGUUAAUCGGCAUUACUGGGCGUAAAGCGCACGCAGGCGGUCUGUCAAGUCGGAUGUGAAAUCCCCGGGCUCAACCUGGGGACUGCGUUCGAAACUGGCAGGCUAGAGUCUUGUAGAGGGGGGUAGAAUACGAGGUGUAGCGGUGAAAUGCGUAGAGAUCUGGAGGAAUACCGGUGGAGGAGGCGGCCCCCUGGACAAAGACAGACGCUCAGGUGCGAAAGAGUGGGGAGCAAACAGG